rnacentral:rRNA from 1 species
GACGAACCGUCCUAACGUUGUUCGGAAUCACUGGGCUUAAAGGGCGCGUAGGCGGUCGGCAAAGUCAGGGGUGAAAUCUUUCGGCUCAACCGGAAAAGUGCCUUUGAAACUAGUCGGCUCGAGUGAGGUAGGGGCAUGUGGAGCUUCAGGUGGAGAGGUGAAAUGCGUUGAUAUCGGAAGGAACGCCGGUGGCGAAAGCGACAUGCUGGACCUCUUCUUACGCUGAGGCGCGAAAGCUAGGGGAGCAAACGGG